GUAAAUCUCUUUAAAUAGAGGGAUGACCCCAUUCGUCCGAGAGAGACGAUAUUGUGGAUAUAUAAGAAAUGGUAAAUGAUUUUAGUAGGAUCACGUUUAUCAAAAAUAGGUUUAAAGACAACUGAUUGAUGUUGAAGGAGGAUAUUUUUAUAAAAUGCAAUUGAUUUAUCAGGGUGCAUUGGAGUAAAAUGCCAUCAUGGAGGAAAGAAGAAUUUAGCAAGUUCAAUAGGGUCUUUAAUAUUCAAGUCACUGUACAUCACUGUUCACUGUUCAUUUACUUUGUUCAUUUACUUUUCCACCGAAAGACUUCCAUUUUUCAAGGACGAACGGUCUCUCUUGGAGUCUAUUUAAAGAUAACCAUAGUCAGAUGAAGGGAGGAAAAACAGGAGAGAAAAUUCACUUCCUCCGACUUCAUCUCUCUACCCUUCUUACUUCCCUCUGCCUGUAAACGAUUCAAACAUGUAUUCAGUAACAAGUCUUAAGAUCUCCAUAGAUCUUUAAGAAAGCUUUUCAGUCAACUUUGUAAGUUUUGUUUAUUUGAAUAAAAUUUUAUUUAGUCAAAUUUUCAUACUGUCAUUUACUUACACCAACCGCCGCCGUGCUCGGAUUACCGACACAAUGGAGGGUUUUACCGCUUUCUAUAUUUGCCUUAGUCUGAAUAAUUCGACCCUAGUUAAUUAAAUUUUCAUACUGUCAUUUACUUACAUUAACCGCCGCCAUCUCUCUACCCUAGUGAAUUCCAGAAUAUCAUGAAUGAAAUAUUUAACCCUUAUACUCAGUUUUCUAUUGUUUACAUUGAUGAUGUUCUUAUCUUUUCUUAUACUCAGUUUUCUAUUGUUUACAUUGAUGAUGUUCUUAUCUUUUCAAACUCAGUAGAUGAGCAUUGGAAACAUUUGAACACAUUCUUUGAAUUAGUCAAGUAUAAUGGUCUAGUUAUUUUUGUCUCAAAGAUUGAACUAUUUCAAACUAAAAUCAGAUUUCUAGGAUACAACAUUUAUCAAGGGACUGUUAUUCCUAUUAAUAGAUCUAUACAGUUUGCUGAUAAAUUUCUAGACGAAAUCCUAGACAAAACUCAAUUACAAAGGUUUCUAGGAUCAUUAAACUAUAUUGCUGAAUUCUACAAAGACCUUAGGAAAAAAUGUCACCAGAAUGGCUCCAUGAAAAUCCCACCAUUUGAGAAAUCAGGAAGGGAUGACUGAUUUAAACUUAUGGUCAAAGGAAAAGAACCAUUAGUGUAGGAAUGACUCAUUUUGAUGCAGGAGGACUUUGAACCAAGCUUCAAUAUAAUCAUAG
rnacentral:lncRNA from 1 species